CCUACGGGAGGCAGCAGUGGGGAAUAUUGCGCAAUGGGCGAAAGCCUGACGCAGCGACGCCGCGUGAGGGAUGAAGGUCUUCGGAUCGUAAACCUCUGUCAGCAGCGAAGAACGGUCACUUUGCUAAUCAGCAGUGAAUUGACGGUACCUGCAAAGGAAGCACCGGCUAACUCCGUACCAGCAGCCGCGGUAAUACGGAGGGUGCGAGCGUUAAUCGGAAUUACUGGGCGGAAAGCGCUCGUAGGCGGUAUGUCAAGUCAAGGGUGACAUCCCCUCGCUCAACGUGGGAACUGCCUUUGAGACUGGCAGACUGGAGUGUGUGAGAGGAUAGUGGAAUUCCAGGUGUAGGAGUGAAAU
rnacentral:rRNA from 1 species